rnacentral:rRNA from 1 species
GUUAGCGGCGGACGGGUGAGUAACACGUGGGUAACCUGCCCAUAAGACUGGGAUAACUCCGGGAAACCGGGGCUAAUACCGGAUAACAUUUUGAACUGCAUGGUUCGAAAUUGAAAGGCGGCUUCGGCUGUCACUUAUGGAUGGACCCGCGUCGCAUUAGCUAGUUGGUGAGGUAACGGCUCACCAAGGCAACGAUGCGUAGCCGACCUGAGAGGGUGAUCGGCCACACUGGGACUGAGACACGGCCCAGACUCCUACGGGAGGCAGCAGUAGGGAAUCUUCCGCAAUGGACGAAAGUCUGACGGAGCAACGCCGCGUGAGUGAUGAAGGCUUUCGGGUCGUAAAACUCUGUUGUUAGGGAAGAACAAGUGCUAGUUGAAUAAGCUGGCACCUUGACGGUACCUAACCAGAAAGCCACGGCUAACUACGUGCCAGCAGCCGCGGUAAUACGUAGGUGGCAAGCGUUAUCCGGAAUUAUUGGGCGUAAAGCGCGCGCAGGUGGUUUCUUAAGUCUGAUGUGAAAGCCCACGGCUCAACCGUGGAGGGUCAUUGGAAACUGGGAGACUUGAGUG